rnacentral:rRNA from 1 species
AUACGAAGGAUCCGAGCGUUAUCCGGAUUUAUUGGGUUUAAAGGGUGCGCAGGCGGCCAUUUAAGUCAGCGGUUAAAUCGUGGGGCUCAACCCCAUUCUGCCGUUGAUACUGGGUGGCUUGAUUGCGGUCGAGGUUGGCGGAAUUCGUUGUGUAGCGGUGAAAUGCAUAGAUAUGACGAAGAACACCGAUUGCGUAGGCAGCUGACCAGAUCGCAAAUGACGCUCAUGCACGAAAGUGCGGGGAUCGAACAGGAUUAGAUACCCUGGUAGUCCGCACAGUAAACGAUGAAUACUUGUUUUCGGCGAUAUAAUGUCGGAGGCAAAGCGAAAGCGAUAAGUAUUCCACCUGGGGAGUACGCCGGCAACGGUGAAACUCAAAUGAAUUGGCGGG